rnacentral:rRNA from 1 species
CCUACGGGAGGCAGCAGUGAGGAAUAUUGGUCAAUGGGCGGGAGCCUGAACCAGCCAAGCCGCGUGAGGGAAGAAGGUACAGCGUAUCGUAAACCUCUUUUGUCAGGGAACAAAGGCGGGGACUAGUCCCCGGAUGAGGGUACCUGAAGAAAAAGCAUCGGCUAACUCCGUGCCAGCAGCCGCGGUAAUACGGAGGAUGCGAGCGUUAGCCGGAUUUAUUGGGGUUAAAGGGUGCGCAGGCGGCCUGUUAAGUCAGCGGUAAAAGCCCGGGGCUCAACCCCGGCGAGCCGUUGAAACUGGCGGGCUGGAGUUGGAGAGAAGUACGCGGAAUGCGCGGUGUAGCGGUGAAAUGCUUAGAUAUCGCGCAGAACCCCGAUUGCGAAGGCAGCAUACCGGCUCCACACUGACGCUGAGGCACGAAAGCGUGGGUAUCGAACAGGAUUAGAUACCCGGGUAGUC